rnacentral:lncRNA from 1 species
GUGACUGCUUCAAUGAAUACAAUGUGAUAGAAGUCAUGCUGCAUGAUAUUGGAGACUAGGUCAUAUAACUUCCAUUUGAUGCUCUCUUUCUUUCUCUCUCUUUUAGGACUCACAUCCUUGGAUCCCAGACUCUUUGAUGACAGGAAGGCCAAACUAUCUCAAAUAUGAUUUUGGUUCUAACAACCAACCCUCAUGGCCUAUUCUUGGAGAACUUCCAUCAGGGUACUUGAGCCAACUUGUACUCACAAAUGCCCAAGAAGUGCCUGGAUGACUGUGAUGGUUAAUUUUCUGUGUGCCGAAGGCAAAGGGAAUACAGAUUUUGUAGUGGAAGAAAUCCUAGGGCCCAGGAGCUGCAAUGGGCCAUUCUCAUCUGAAGGAAUUGCCUCAGCUUGUUAGAGGACUGGCAUGAAAGGAACAAUCGUGAUAGUGGGCAUAACACAUAAACCCUCUGGGACUCCCUUUGGUCAUCCACAAAUGGCAGUAAAGAGAUGAGCGCCUCCUUGUUCUCACUCACAGGUGGGAAUUGAACAAUGAGAA